AAGACUUGGCAGUUGGUCACUGAGGCAAGGAGGGUACAGGGGAACUGGGUGUUCCCUGGGAGGGUAGGACCCCGGAGUACAGAGCCUGCUAGCCCCCUACCCCCUCUUCCCUGGGAGGGGGCCAAGAGUCACUGGAGUGGGCACUGCUGGACGGCAGUGGCCUGAAGAGGGCGCCGCGGUCCCAAAGUGCCGUGGGUCUGGAGCUGAGACGGGGAGACGCUGGCCAGAAGGAGGUGUUCGGUGAGCAGGUGUGAGUUAAUUCCCAGUGCGACUGGCAGGAGGCGCCAUGGUGGAACAUGUCAACUUCAUCCAUCAAGACUUCUUUGACUUCCUACACAUGUGACAUUCCUGUUCAAUGAUCGCAGUUACUGAAAUCAUCGGUUCUUGAGAGCCUCUUUAGACCGCUACUAGCAAG